rnacentral:rRNA from 1 species
UACGUAGGGUCCGAGCGUUGUCCGGAAUUAUUGGGCGUAAAGGGCUCGUAGGCGGUCUGUUGCGUCGGGAGUGAAAAUUCACAGCUUAACUGUGAACUUGCUUCCGAUACGGGCAGACUUGAGGUAUUCAGGGGAGAACGGAAUUCCUGGUGUAGCGGUGAAAUGCGUAGAUAUCUGGAGGAACACCGGUGGCGAAGGCGG